rnacentral:lncRNA from 1 species
UGAUCUUUAAUUUGUUUUUUUUUUAUUUAAAAAAAAGGUUCAAGGGGUCAAGGGUUCGAAACCCACCCACCACCUUUUUAAUUAAUUUCAAACGCGCCUAUACUGCUUUAAUAGCGUUGUUUCAAAAGCGCUAUCAUAAUGCUUUUUGUUUCGGGCUUUAACAGCGGUUUCUUCACAAAACGCUAUAAUAAGGUUCGCUGGUUGGAGCUUUUAAUAGCAGUUUUCAUAAAAACGCUAUCGUAAGGGCUCCGUUUUAAGUUUUAAUAGCGCUUUCUAAAUAAGCGCUAUUAAAAGGGCGCUAUUAAAACUCAAUUUUGUAGUAGUGUCUCCUGGAUACGGCCACAACUGGGAGCUGCCGUCGAGUCAUAACUACAGGUGAUUCGUACCUCCCGCUGAAAUGAGGAGUGGUGACCUCUUUUCAGCACGCCAACGAUCGAUGCCGGCU